UAACGAAUAUUCCGCAAUGCGCGAAAGCGUGACGGAGCAAUGCCGCGUGGAGGAUGAAGCCCCUCGGGGUGUAAACUCCUGUCAGGGUUCAGGAAAUUUGACCAGACCCAAAGGAAGGGCCGGCUAACUUCGUGCCAGCAGCCGCGGUAAUACGAAGGGCCCAAGCGUUGCGCAGAAUCACUGGGCUUAAAGGGUGCGUAGGCGGACCUGCAAGUACCUUGUGAAAUCCCACGGCUUAACCGUGGAAUGGCUGGGUAGACUGCUGGUCUUGAGCUCGGCAGGGGCCGUCGGAACUCUAGGUGGAGCGGUGAAAUGCGUAGAUAUCUAGAGGAACGCCAAAGGUGAAGACAGGCGGCUGGGCCGACGCUGACGCUCAGGCACGAAAGCGUGGGGAGCGAACGGGAUUAGAUACCCGCGUAGUCC
rnacentral:rRNA from 1 species